rnacentral:rRNA from 1 species
AUGGUGGUUGAUGCCCUGGCCUCGAUCCUUGAUAAGGCAAAGAGCGCCGGCCACAUUCGAGGCAUUGUCCCGCACCUGGUGUAGGGAGGAGGUGUCUCCCUCCUCCAAUACGCCGACGACACCAUCAUCAUGGUGCAAGCCUCGGUGGCCGAUAUCUAGAACAUGAAAUUCCUGCUGUUGUGUUUCUAGCAACCGUCAGGCCUCAAAAUAAAAUUUGAUAAAAGUUAGGUGAUGGUUCUUGGAUAUUCCCCCUCCGAUAGCCAGAGUAUUACUAACCGACUUAACUGUCGGCUUGGGUCAUUCCCAACCACCUACCUGGGGAUCCCCAUUAGUGACUCCCACCUUUCUGUGGCGGAUCUAAGGCCCUCGGUGCUCAAGCUUCAACACUGCAUCGAGCCUUGGCAGGGCUGGUGGCUGUCUAAGGCGGCGCGUACAAUCCUCAUCAACUCGUCCCUAUCCAGUCUCCUCUUAUUCAUUAUGUGUUUCUACAGCCUACCCGAAAUGCUGCAUCUUGAGAUUGGUUCGGUCCAGGCAUGAUUCUACUGGGCCAGCGAGAGUGAUAAGCAGAAAUACCAUAUGGUUCACUGGACCGACAUCUGCAAACCCAGGGACCAAGGCGGUCUCGGCAUCAUGUCCUCCAAGCGCAUGAACCUGGCUCUCCUCACGAGGUGGCUCUGGCACAUUGCGAAUGGCGAGGGUGGCUUGUGGUUGCAUAUCAUCCAGCGCAAAUACUUGCAUGGACAACCCCUCGCUUUCUGCAUUAGGACAUGA